UGCUCUUCCGCCAUGAUUGUGAGGUCUCUCCAGCCACGUGGAACUUUUUCAUCAGCUUUUCAUGUUUCACUGGGGAGUGCAUCCUGAGAGGUCGUCACACUAUCAUCUUGGAAGUGAAUCUCUUACAUUUCAGUUUUAAAGGGAAAAACAACAUGAACUGUUCGUCUAUCUAUAUCGUCAUUAUUUUUUACCUCAUGGAUUGAAACAAAUUUUAAAGGAAAAAAGAAUGUUAAGAAAGAGCAGCACUUACUAUCAGGGAGGCACCUCACGAGCAUUGUAAACACUCAGGCUCGCUGCUUUCUGAAGGACAUGCCAAUCAUGCACAGCACUUACUAGAAACUGCAAGACUGCACAACAUGAUGGUAUUUAUUCCAGGAACAGGAGCCAGUCCUGGGCACACACAUAAAGGGACUUCCUUCACUCCCCAGAAGAAGAGAAAGCAUGCUGACACACAUCUGCCCAAGCAAUCAGAAGGCAGCUAAAGCCGCCACAGUCUUCACUCACCAACAGUUAGACCUUUUCAAUUGAUUUUAUUGAAGAAAGUGAGUGCUGAGCACCAUGAGUUCUCAUAAACAAUCCAUUUUGGCAAAUGCUUUAAGAAUGUUGGUUAAUUGCAGUUAGGCAGCAUCGACGUAUUUUAUUUUUUGGAAAGCAAGAAGCUGGCUUACCAACAUUAAGUUAAACAACAUGUAAGGGUUAGAAAUAUGAAUCAACAAACUAUUAGGGUGGUACCAUCUCUUUAUAAUAAAACAAUGUAGAUUGAUUAAGUAUAGCCUAAAAGUUUACCACAAAUCAUAACUACAUUUAAGCUUUGAAUUUCAUGACUAGUGAUUAAUUUUGCAUGUCAACUUGACUGAGCUUAUAGAAUGCCCAGGUAUCUGAUUAAACGUUAUUUCUGGAGGUGUCUGUGAGGGUGUUUCUGUAAGAGAUUAGCAUCUGAAGGCCAGGUGUGGUGGCUCAUGCCUGUAAUCCUAGUACUUUGGGAGGCCGAGGUGGGCAGAUUGCCUGAGCUCAGGAGUCUGAGACCAGCCUGGGCAACAUGGCAAAACACCGUCUGUACUAAAAAAUACAAAGUUUAGCCGGAUGUGGUGGCACACACCUGUAGUCCCAGCUACUAGGGAGGCUAAGGCAUGAGAAUUUCCUGAGCCUGCGAGGCGGAGGUUGUGGUAAGCCAAGAUUGUACUCCAGCCUGGGUGAUAAAGUGAGACCCUAUCUCAUAAAAAACAAAAAAACAAAAAAGAAAAAAGGAGAAGAAAGAGACACAGAUUAGCAUUUGAAUGGGUGGACUGAGUAAAGCAGAUGGCCCUCGUCAGUGUUGGUGGGAAUUGUCCUAUCCAUUGAGGGCUUAAAUGAAACAAAGACUGAGGAAGGCUGAAUUCAAUCUCUGCUGACUGCUGGGGCUGAGACAUCAAUCUUCUCCGGCUCUCAGUGCUCUUCCAGACUCAGACUGGAAUGUACACUAUCAGCUCUCCAGUUCUCAGGCCUUCAAAUUACACCUCUGGCUUUCCUGGGUCUCCAGCUUGCAGAUGGCAGAUCGUGGGACUUCAUGGGACUUCUCAGACUCCAUAACCAAGCAAGCCAUUUUACUUACUUUGGACUCAUUUUCUUAAUCCAAAAAUGGAAGUAAGGCUUGUCAUCUGUCUUAUUCAUAGUCACAGGGCUGAGGAGCUACAGUCUAAAUGCAUACGCAUGUUGGGAACCGAAGUCAGCCAUCUUCCCUAGGACAAAUCUUUACUCUUCUAAAGAAGGACAAGAAUAAGGAUUUGAAUGACUUUCAUCGUAAUGAAGGCUUCUGCAGAGUAAUUGAUUUUGACCAUGAGUACCUGUUGAAGUCACAGCAACUUCUCCUUCUAGAUUAUCUUACAGCAGUGGACCAGACAGCAGUGCUCAAGAGAGAAAUGCUAUCAAACAAAAAGUGGUUCAAUACUGGCAUCCUGUGGCUGGAGAGAUUUAUCAAAUCUCUGAAAAUCUCAGCUCCUUGGAUUCUGAACAUUCCCUGGCUGUCAGUUCUCAGCAGCCUUUCACCAUUUUCCGAGUGCUAUUUGGUUACCUCUCAUUUUUCAUGGAAACAACCUAGGUAAAAUGCAUUUUGAUAGACUAUCAUUUUCACAGGGCUGAUCUACUCAUGCAUUAUCAGGGUAAAAAUAAAUGAUAAUAUAAAGGUUUUGGAAUUUUACCUAAUGAAAGAACAUGAUAUUAAAUCAUUGAACAAACUGCUCCAAGCAAAGGCUCUUGGUCUCUAAGUUCACAUUGAGUUUCUCUCUAACAAAAUGAUCAUAGAGUAGUUGGGAGAAGGGACAGGGCGCUGCUUCAGGAUUUUGUUGUUUGUGCGUCUGUGUGUGAGUGUUUUGUUUUGGCCAAAGGCUAAGAAAAUACUUCCUAUUGCAGCAAUAAAUAUUAUGAAUUUUCUUUAUUUUACUACAAGAAUGCUGCCUCAGAGAAAAAUCAAACAAAAUUACGGAGGACUGUUGCUUUUUGCUACUCACUUUCAAGGCAGCUAUAAAGAUAAAGAGUUACAAUGAUCGCAGUUUAAAAGCAGAAUUGCCAUGCUCCCUGGUAAGACUUAAUGGCAUUUUUGAGAACCAAAUAACCAUUAUGGGACUACUCCAUUGCUGCUAGUUUCACAAAUGGCUAACACUAAAUUUGGAGGCCUUGGAAAUGUUCAAAACAUCAUUAGAGAUAGAAAAAUAGCAACAAACUUUAAAAUUACAUGAACACCAAAAGACAUCAAUGAAGGAUCAAGCAUGAAAACCGCUUGUUGAGAUGAACUGACAAAGAAAUAAUACAAAGUACACACGUGCUUGUUAGCAAGAGGAAAGAACUAUUAGAGUUGGCUGACUCCAAACAGGAGGAACAAAAUGCCUGCUAAAGUGGGAUCGAACAAUGGCUUUGCUCUUUCAUCAUGCUCCCUUUCUUCUAGUCUAACUCUAGGACCACCAGCUCUUUCUUCCUCAAUUCUCUUAAUUUUCUGUGCUGCUCAGGGGUUUUAACUGUCUUGGUUAGUAUGGGAGACAGACAGAUUUCACAGCGAUGAGUGCUAAUCUAUCCUAAAUGUUAGCAAUGAAUAAAGCAACCCUAAUGGUAAAUGGUAUUUAAUAAGAUCCCUUUUCCCUCAGAACAGGCUCUAUAUUUAGUGUCUAGAACACAGAAAACUUAAAAAUAUUCCACAGAAAGCUAGUGUGAUCUGAGAAGAAAUAGAGAUUAAAUACUCAGUUAAGGCAAUCAGUGUGCCUGUGUCAGCCAUAAAGCACCUCAUUUGUAUAGUAACAUUUCUUUGGGGAAACAAAAUCCAGAUAUAAAUAUUAGUAUAAGAUCUAAAGAUGCAAAAUUCCAAUUGAAUGCUAAUAAAAGGUAUUAAUAAAACUCUGCUUUAAAGGACUGACUUCUCAAUGAGUCUGCACAGCACACUAGAGAUUCAAUAUGCAUAUCAAGGUUUUUGGUUGUUUGUUUUUUUAGUAACACUGGCAUUAUUUAUUAAUAAUUUAACCAGAAAUCUCCCCAAACUUUUAACUGGAAUUUAAAAAAUUAAUUAUGGUAAAGUAAGUAAAUUAAAACAAAGAAAAAGUAUGAAAGCUAUGUUCUAAACUCACCACAUUCACCAGCGAGAAUAGAUCUGCCCUUCUGGCUAUAUUUGUUACCUACCUAUCUCUCUCUCUCUCUCUGUCUCUCUCUCUCCCUCUCUCUCUCUGUCUCUCUCUUUCCCUCUCUCUCUCUCUCUCUCCGCCCCCCCCACUUCCACAAGGGAUCCAGUCUAGAAAGAGCAUGAACUUAGAAGUCCAGCAGAUGUGGGUUCAAUUCCUAGUUCUAUGGUUUAAAAUACAUACACUCAAAAAUAAAUUCUCCAUUUUCCUGAGCUCUGGUGUUCUCAUCUGGACUUGGGAAUAAUAGCACCUCACACAUCAACCUUGUUGAGGAUUGCUUGAGAUGAUCAUGUAGGGGAGAGGACUCAGGAGAGCCUCUGACAGAGAGAUAUGCUUUCAACACAGGCUAUUCAUAAGCACCCUUCCUACCUAGUCAUCUACUAUGUUUUCUCCUCCCCCAGUUUAACUGGUCACCAAGUCUUGCUGAUUUUUCCUUUUAGUAUGUUUCACUUUCUCUCAGACCCUGCUGAUACUGCCUGUCUUCAGAAUCCCCCUCAAUUCUCAUCAGGAUUGCUGCAGUAACCACCAAAGUCAAUAUUCUGUCUUCAGCCCCAACCUAUCUUAAUCCAUCCUCAUAACCCCCAGGGUGAUUCUCCUAAAAUAUAAAACUGCCUGAGUUUGACUUUCAGCUAUUCUACUUUAUAUCUGUAUGACUUGGAACAAGUGACCUGAAUUCUCUCAUGCUAUAAUUCAAAGCCUAUUAACUGGGGAUAAUAAUUUUCCUACCUCAGUAGGAUAUUAUAUGAAUUAAAUAAAGUCUUGUUCCUCUCCC
rnacentral:lncRNA from 1 species